UACGAAGGGGGCUAGCGUUGCUCGGAAUCACUGGGCGUAAAGGGUGCGUAGGCGGGUCUUUAAGUCAGGGGUGAAAUCCUGGAGCUCAACUCCAGAACUGCCUUUUGAUACUGAAGAUCUUGAGUUCGGGGAGAGGUGAGUGGAACUGCGAGUGUAGAGGUGAAAUUCGUAGAUAUUCGCAAGAACACCAGUGGCGAAGGCGGCUCACUGGCCCCGAUACUGACGCUGGAGGCACGAAAGCGUGGGGAGCAAA
rnacentral:rRNA from 1 species